rnacentral:rRNA from 1 species
GACGAACGCUGGCGGCGUGCCUAAUACAUGCCAGUCGAACGCUGAAGGAGGAGCUUGCUCUUCUGGAUGAGUUGCGAACGGGUGAGUAACGCGUAGGUAACCUGCCUGGUAGCGGGGGAUAACUAUUGGAAACGAUAGCUAAUACCGCAUAACAGUAGAUGUUGCAUGACAUUUACUUAAAAGGUGCAAUUGCAUCACUACCAGAUGGACCUGCGUUGUAUUAGCUAGUUGGUGGGGUAACAGCUCACCAAGGCGACGAUACAUAGCCGACCUGAGAGGGUGAUCGGCCACACUGGGACUGAGACACGGCCCAGACUCCUACGGGAGGCAGCAGUAGGGAAUCUUCGGCAAUGGACGGAAGUCUGACCGAGCAACGCCGCGUGAGUGAAGAAGGGUUUCGGAUCGUAAAGCUCUGUUGUAAGAGAAGAACGAGUGUGAGAGUGGAAAGUUCACACUGUGACGGUAGCUUACCAGAAAGGGACGGCUAACUACGUG